GUGAGUAACACGUAAGAACCUGCCUGUUGGACGGGGACAACAGUUGGAAACGACUGCUAAUCCCGGAUGAGCCGAGAGGUAAAAGAUUAAUCGCCAACAGAGGGGCUUGCGUCUGAUUAGCUAGUUGGUGUGGUAAGAGCGCACCAAGGCGACGAUCAGUAGCUGGUCUGAGAGGAUGAUCAGCCACACUGGGACUGAGACACGGCCCAGACUCCUACGGGAGGCAGCAGUGGGGAAUUUUCCGCAAUGGGCGAAAGCCUGACGGAGCAAGACCGCGUGGGGGAGGAAGGUUCUUGGAUUGUCAACCCCUUUUCUCAGGGAAGAAGAAAGUGACGGUACCUGAGGAAGAAGCAUCGGCUAACUCCGUGCCAGCAGCCGCGGUAAUACGGAGGAUGCAAGCGUUAUCCGGAAUGAUUGGGCGUAAAGAGUCCGUAGGUGGCCCUUCAAGUCUGCUGUUAAAGAGCGAGGCUUAACUUCGUAAAAGCAGUGGAAACUGGAGAGCUAGAGUGUAGUAGGGGCAGAGGGAAUUCCUGGUGUAGCGGUGAAAUGCGUAGAGAUCAGGAAGAACACCGGUGGCGAAAGCGCUCUGCUGGGCUACAACUGACACUGAGGGACGAAAGCUAGGGGAGCGAAUGGGAUUAGAUACCCCAGUAGUCCUAGCGGUAAACGAUGGAAACUAGGUGUGGCCUGUAUCGACCCGGGCCGUGCCGGAGCAAACGCGUUAAGUUUCCCGCCUGGGGAGUACGCACGCAAGUGUGAAACUCAAAGGAAUUGACGGGGGCCCGCACAAGCGGUGGAGUAUGUGGUUUAAUUCGAUGCAACGCGAAGAA
rnacentral:rRNA from 8 species